rnacentral:misc_RNA from 1 species
ACGUCAUCCCCACCUUCCUCCAACUUAUCACCGGCAAUCUAUUCAGGGUUCCAAACUCAACGAUGGUAACUAAACACGAGGGUUGCGCUCGUUGCGGGACUUAACCCAACACCGUUUGGCAUGAGCUGACAACAGCCAUGCACCACCUGUGUCCGCAUUCCCGAAGGCACCCCUCUCUUUUAAGAGGAUUCACGGCAUGUCAAGCCCUGGUAAGUUUCUUUGCUUUGCAUCGAAUUAAACCACAUGCUCCACUACUUGUGCGGGCCCCCGUCAAUUCCAUUGAGUUUCACUCUUACGAACAUACUCUCCAGGCAGGAUACUUAACGCGUUAGCAACAGCACUGCAUGGGUUGAUACGCACAGCACCGAGUAUCCAUCGUUUACAGCUAGCACUACCAGGG